AUGUUGGACGAGAGAAUCAAAGACGUGAAAGUCGUCUAUCUCGUGCUCAUGGACACUUCAUCCUUAUCCAGAAUACGCACCUUGAGAAAUCCUUUUUCCUUUGGAGUGUCUGCUUUUAGUCGAAGUAUAUUCACCAGGGCAGUGGCUGCGAUGACGGAUGGGAGAGCUGACGACGGGAAUGUUGUUUAUCUCACGCUUUAUGAUGAAUACUUCAUCAUUGAACAGGAUCCAAACCCUGCAAAAUCCUUUCGCCUCCGGAGUGUGCGGUUUUGGUCAAAGUAUGUUCACCAUGGCAGUGGCCAUGAUGAUGGACGUGAGAAUUGA
rnacentral:rRNA from 1 species